rnacentral:sRNA from 1 species
UACAAUAGAAUCGGCUCCUCAAGGAUGGUCUGGCUCAUCCCCGGAAAGAUAGGGGGUGAGGCUGAUGACAACAUUUGAAGCAAUGAUGUUGAUGCUUACGUUUGGCUUACUUAUCAUAGCAGUGUUGUCACAAGACAAAAAGAAAUAGGCUCCCCUUGAGUUUUGGCAAACCAGGGACCUAUUUCUCUGUACCAAUUGAGCCGGCCGCUCAGUUGAGAGGCGACUAUUGUAUCGACCGUAGGUGUUACCAGCACCAGCG